CUGCUAUCCCCUUCCCUGCCUCAUAUACACCUUUUUGGCAAGUUUUCUGAAUUGUCUACUGAACCAGAGGAGGUAUUUUCAUACUCCAGGAUGCUACAAAGGAUGUACAGCGUGAUGGAGAUUUGAGGAGAAAAUGCUGAUGACAGUUGGGACACAGAACUGCUGACAGCAACAUCCAUCUUGAACUGUGGGUACCAGAACUGGACACAGUAUUCCAGCAACUGUCACACUAGCACCAAGUACAGAGGUAAAAUAAUCUCUCUCACGAUUCCCCAGUAUAUGCAUCCCAAGAUUGCAUUAGUU